rnacentral:pre_miRNA from 15 species
GUAUUCAUAUUGUUACUGAUUUUUAGUUCAUGUAAACAUCCUACACUCAGCUAUAAAACAUAGAACGGCUGGGAGGUGGAUGUUUACUUCAACUGACUUGGAAAGGCAGCCUUCCUGAAU